AAGUGUUUACUUCUUGGAAACAAGUGACUUGAUAGUAAAUGAGUGUAUAAGAUAAAACACCAUUGAGAUGGAAUUAUGGAUUGGUUUAAGGUUAGGCAGGUGAUCUUUGGCAACCGCAGAGUUGAAGGUGUUGCUUAUACGGACACAUUUGCAUUGGUUGCUAUACAAUGUGCAUGCUCUUAGUUAUGGUUGCAACGAAGGAUUUAUGUGAACAUUGUUUUUCUUCAUGGUGACCUAAGAAAAGGUGUCCAUGAAAAUGUCUCUGGGCUUUAAUGGGUAGCAACCAAGCACGGUAUGUAAAUCACUUUGAUGGGUGAAAAAU
rnacentral:lncRNA from 1 species